UGAGGAAUAUUGGUCAAUGGGCGAGAGCCUGAACCAGCCAAGUAGCGUGCAGGAUGACGGCCCUAUGGGUUGUAAACUGCUUUUAUGUGGGGAUAAAGUGCGUGACGUGUCAUGCAUUGCAGGUACCACAUGAAUAAGGACCGGCUAAUUCCGUGCCAGCAGCCGCGGUAAUACGGAAGGUCCGAGCGUUAUCCGGAUUUAUUGGGUUUAAAGGGAGCGUAGGCUGUCUAUUAAGCGUGUUGUGAAAUAUACCGGCUCAACCGGUGGCUUGCAGCGCGAACUGGUCGACUUGAGUAUGCAGGAAGUAGGCGGAAUUCAUGGUGUAGCGGUGAAAUGCUUAGAUAUCAUGACGAACUCCGAUUGCGCAGGCAGCUUACUGUAGCAUAACUGACGCUGAUGCUCGAAAGUGCGGGUAUCAAACAGG
rnacentral:rRNA from 1 species